UUCUUUUGCGCUAGUAUCGAAGGGCGCUAUGUUCAAAAAUCUGAAACUAGAGCUCAAAAUUCGAAAAAAAUGUCCAAAAAAUGGGGGUAGGGUCGGCCUAUUCCAGGAGUUCUAGAGAAAAAUAAUGAGGGGUGUCACGGGGUAAUGACUAUAUAGGUCUUGUAGAAGAGAAACAGGCGCUUCUUUUGCGCUAGGUAUCGAAGGGCGCUAUGUUCAAAAAUCUGAAACUAGAGCUCAAAAUUCGAAAAAAAUGUCCAAAAAAUGGGGGUAGGGUCGGCCUAUUCCAGGAGUUCUAGAGAAAAAUAAUGAGGGGUGUCACGGGGUAUGACUAUAUAAGGUCUUGUAGAAGAGAAACAGGCGCUUCUUUUGCGCUAGGUAUCGAAGGGCGCUAUGUUCAAAAAUCUGAAACUAGAGCUCAAAAUUCGAAAAAAAUGUCAAAAAAUUAGGGGGGUCGGCCUAUUCCAGGAGUUCUAGAGAAAAAUAAUGAGGGGUGUCACGGGAAUGACUAUAUAGGUCUUGUAGAAGAGAAACAGGCGCUUCUUUUGCGCUAGGUAUCGAAGGGCGCUAUGUUCAAAAAUCUGAAACUAGAGCUCAAAAAUUUGAAAAAAAUGUCAAAAAAUUAGGGGGGUCGGCCUAUUCUAGGACUUCUAGAGAAAAAUAAUGAGGGG
rnacentral:lncRNA from 1 species